GUUAAGGUGGCAGAGCCCGGAUAAUGCAAAAGACCUAAGCCCUUUUAACAGAAGUUCAAGUCUUCUCCUUAACU
rnacentral:tRNA from 1 species